AUUGAACGCUGGCGGCAUGCUUUACACAUGCAAGUCGAACGGUAACAGGCCGCAAGGCGCUGACGAGUGGCGAACGGGUGAGUAAUGCAUCGGAACGUGCCCAGUCGUGGGGGAUAACGCAGCGAAAGCUGCGCUAAUACCGCAUACGAUCUAUGGAUGAAAGCGGGGGACCGUAAGGCCUCGCGCGAUUGGAGCGGCCGAUGUCAGAUUAGGUAGUUGGUGGGGUAAAGGCUCACCAAGCCAACGAUCUGUAGCUGGUCUGAGAGGACGACCAGCCACACUGGGACUGAGACACGGCCCAGACUCCUACGGGAGGCAGCAGUGGGGAAUAUUGGACAAUGGGCGCAAGCCUGAUUCAGCAAUGCCGCGUGCAGGAAGAAGGCCUUCGGGUUGUAAACUGCUUUUGUACGGAACGAAACGGUCCUGGUUAAUACCCGGGGCUAAUGACGGUACCGUAAGGAUAAGCACCGGCUAACUACGUGCCAGCAGCCGCCGUAAAAC
rnacentral:rRNA from 1 species